ACCGCAGACCGCCUUAUCGUCGUCUCGUCUUUAUGGACGGGAGGGAGGAAAGUCCGGACACCAUAGAGAAGCAUAGCGGGUAACCCCCGUCGGUUUCGAGCAAUCGAAAUUAGGACAAGUGCAACAGAAAGUAUGUACAGGUAAUGCUGUAGUGAAACCAGGUAAACUCUAUGCGGUGAAAUAUCAAGUAUAUCAGCAUUUAAGGGCUUCUCGUCCGUUGUUGAAGGGUAGAUAGCUUGAGCUUAUGAGUAAUUAUAAGUCUAGAUAAAUGAUAAGGUAUCGUUAGUAAUAACGAGAACAGAAUCCGGCUUAUAGGUCUGCUUUUUCU
rnacentral:RNase_P_RNA from 1 species